GACGGGGCGUGGCCAGGCGGGCACAGGUGCGCCCAGCGGGCUGGAGCUGGAGAGCAGAGGCGAAGGAGCUCCGGCCCCGCUGCGAGAGGUGGGCACCCGCAGCUUCCCCACUCGGGCGCCCCCACCAGCAGUGCUGGGGAGUCGCUGAGGGACCCAUUUCACAAACAGGAAGACCGGUUCAGGAUGAAACCCCAAAGGGGAUGGUGUUGCUGUGCUGUUGAUUACAGAGAGGCAAGGCCCCUGUCCUGAGCCCAGCCAGGCCCUGGGAGGCCCCCACAAGGAGGCGGAGGGGGCUGGCCCAGGUCCACUCCGGGCAGCCCCUUGGUUCCCGGGCCACUGUGCACCCCAGCCCGGGUCAGUGGGGCCCUCUCUGGGCCCCGAAGAAGCCGCCCACACACCCCGCGGGGGAACCAGGGCUGAGUGGACACAGGGUGACCCGUGGCUGCGUCCUCCUGUGCCCGGGGCCGACUCCUCCCAGUGCCUGCGUCAGCCCAGGAAUGUGCCUGACCUGCACCUCCCCCACCCCACCCGUGUGCCCCAGCCCCCACUUGUCUUCCCUGUCAGGACUUCAUUGGACGCUUGGCCCCCCCUGCCCCCGGAAGACCUGGCUCUGGAUCCCAGCAGAGGGUCCACACGGGGGUCUGUGAGGCUCUGUCCCCAACCCCACGGUGACUCAGUUGCCUGGAUGUGGGUUAUGGGGGGGAUGGCCUCUCCUGGGCCUCAGACUUCCCAUCUGGAUGGUGGACAUUUGGCCAGACCCCAAUUCUCCUUCCUCCAGACUGCGGAGGAGAACAGACAAGCCACGGUGCCUGAGCCCACAGGCCGGGACCUGGGAGGAGGCGGAAGGAGGCACCAGCGGUGGCUGGAGCCUGCCUGCCAGAGUGACCACCACACAUGUCCGGACGUGACCUGCCUUGUCCACACGGGCCAGCGGGCUGCGUGCACACACACAUGAGUGUUCGCCUGUUCACAAAGCUCACCCGCUGCUGUCUGAGCCGGAUGCGGGCUGACCAGCCACUGGGGAGCUCUAGGAUAGCCUCCCAGCCAGCUUGGGCCGCUCUAGGCUCCUGGGCCCUGGGGCACCCACGGCGCGGCCCCCAGCCCCGGGAAGCCCCUCGGCAGCACACAGCUCCACCUGGGGGGCAGCAGGAGUGAGCACGGAGGCAAGACACAGGGUAUCUCCUGGCCAGAGCCCUCCCUUCUCUGCCUUCCUUUCCCGGGGUCACUUUCUGGGAACAGGGAAGCAGCCCUGAGGUGGAAGCUGGUCCAGCCACUUCUCUUGCUCUGUCCAGACCACCUCUCGCCGGGGCUGGGGGACAGGGACAGGGCAGGCCCUCCUGCAGUGGGCCCUCUGACCUCCCCCAGUCUGCGUUGGAGCCUAGACUCAGCCGGGGGGCGGGCAGCCCAGACUACAGCAGCCCCAAACCCUUCUUCCUUUAGCUGUCCUCCAUUCCCCCCACCUCCCAGCAUGUGAUAAGGCAGGAAAGUCCUCCAGCCCAGGGUCGUGGCUCAGAGUCACCAGACUGUCCCCUUCCUCCCUCACAGGCUUGGCCAGCAGCCCCUGAAUACUGACAUUCCCCAGUGGACACCACUUCCUGAGCCCGGGUCCCUGGGGCCUCCAUGCUCUGACUCUGCCACGUGUUGGGAUCCAAGUGCCCAGGUGCCUCUCGGCACCCACCCCAGUCUGGCACUGGGGACACUUUGGGAGCCAGACCUGGGUCCUUCUGGCAAAAGCCACAGUGAGGGGAGUAUGGAAGGCAGCACAGGCUGGAGGGGGCCUUCUGGGGCUCCUCUGAUGGACUUGCCCUGCCCUGUCCAGCUCCCCUUCCAGCCUGUGGCCGCCAUGAUCUGCCUCUGCUCACAGGCCUGGGGCCACCCCCAGCAGCACGGAAAGGAGGGGGCCAGCUGAAGCAUGAGUCCAGGGAGCCUUGGGCGCCAACUCGCGUCCCCCGGGUGCUGCGGACCACACAGGCCUCGGCCAGAGCGAAUCUCGUCCUUCAUGCACGAGCAGAACUUUGGGCCAGGCUGGACUUUCCUUGGAACCGCUGGCACUACCCCCAGGGCCCAGCGGAGACUCUCUCCCUGGCUGUCUUUUCCUGGUCCAUUAAAGGGAGGACCCCCAGGGCCUGGGGCACACAGGCUCAUCAGCUCUGCGCUGUGUGGGUGCCAGGGGCUGUCAGGGAGGGGCCAGAGCGAGCCUGACCUGAAAUCAUUGCCCAUGUUGCCGGUGUCUCUCCCAGCCUGACCUGUUCUUGGGUGGAGUUCACGCCCUGGCAGUGACUCUCGUGUCUGCUUGGCUGGGCUGCUUGUCACCCCGGGCUUGCCCUGCCCCCGUGGGCCACUGCUGUGGUGGCUGUGAAAGCAGCGCCCACCAGGGGCUGAAGGGGGCGUGCGCUGAAGGGGGCAUGCGUGAGCGUGCUGAGCACAGGCCAGCAUGCAGCAGGCACUCACUAGAUGCGCAUCUCCAUGGCCGUGCUGUGUCCUGAGCUCAUGUUUGCUGGGACGGGCCCUGCGGGGCUCUGUGCUCUGCAGACUCUGGGGAUCCAUCUGUAGGGUUCCUCCAUAGCCUGAGUGUGGUCUGAGUGGCCCAGGCCACAGCCCAGGGACUGUCCCCAGACAACGUCAUCACUGCUGUAGGCCCUGGGCCCCAAGGCCCCCGAAUCCCUCCGGGACUCAGGACACCAGCCCCUCCCCCUCCAAACGGCACAGCUCUGGUCCAACCCUUGGCUCUACUGUGGCCCCGGCCUGCACCCUGGCAGGCACAGGUGCUGAGAGCCCCCCACACCCUCCCUCUGUUCUCUGUCAGCCUCGGAGACUCAGCCAAGCCGGGCCUCCUCCUCCAGGAGGCCCCCACAGGGGACCCACUGCCCACACAGCUCCUGGACUGGGGCCAGCGAGAGCUGCACGCAAGUCAGAGGCAAACACAGGCUCAGCCAGCUUCCGGCUCCUCGGGGUCCCCCUCAUGGCCCCUCUGCCUCUCCUCCUCGUCCGCGUGCUGGAGGUUGGAGCAGAGCGGGGCGAGGGGCCUGUCCAGCCUGGGCACCAACGGCACAGGCUGCUGGACUCUCCGUGGCUAGAUUCUGAGAGGCUGCAGGCAGGGUGUGGAGUCCUCGCAGAGGGCCGCACCACCGCCCUGGCCCUGUGGACGGGCCUCCAGGUCACGCAGGAGGGGCCUGGGGCUGCCCUCUCCUAGUCCCAGCCAGCCGGGGCUCUUUGGCCUUGAGGGUCUCAGCGUGGUGGGGGUGGAGCUCCCAGGGUGUACCGGGCCUCCCCGUCCCAGGAAAACCCUGGACUCUCUGGAUGAAACCCAGGGCUUGCACCCAGGACAGCAGCCAGACCCUCCACAGCCACGCCUAUGAGAAGCCUACUGUGUGCACGGAAACCCUCAUGCGCCUCUCACCGGAUCCUCCUCCCGGGCCCAUCCAAGGGUGGUCCGAGUCCCCACAGAUGGGGAGGUCCAGGCAAGGAGAGGUUGGGGAUGUGCCCACGGUUUUGGCGUGGAUUAGUGGCAGAGCAGGGACAUGGCCUGACUGGUGGGUGGGCCAGGCUGAGGCUCCUCAGCUUGGGUUAGAAGGGAAGGCCCCGCGGUGGAAGGAAUUGGGGUGGGGGGCAGGAAGGGAAGGCCAAGAGGCGUGAAGGCUCAGCUAAGCGUCCGGGAAGCUGGUACAGCGCACACUGUGUGUACCACAGGGCUGCCCGAGCCUGACCCCAGGCCAGAGGUCUGUGAGGAGAGGACUCCUGUGUGGAUGCUCCCACUGCCAAGGCUGGCUUUGGGGUCUCCGGUCCUGCUGCGCUUGGGUCCGCUCUGCUGGGGACCUGGCCUCUCUCCAGGUUAGGCCUGGACGCUCCCUGGGCUUCUUCGGUUUUUCAGGAUCUCCUUGGCCGAGGGUGCAGUUAGCCGUUGCCAGGCCUCAGUGGCUUGUGGGAUAAACACUCUUCGGUGGCAGUAGGUGGGGUGUCAAGCUCACGAAUGCAGGCUGGCCCCGACCAAGGGUCAGGCCAGGCUGGGGUCUCCUGGGCAGGGAGGCCAGAGUUCACGCAGGCCACUGCUGCCCGCUGGCUCCCACUGAUUUUCACCCCACCCCAGCCCGGGCCCUACCCUGGGUUGCCUUUGGGAAAUGUUGCAAAACCCUGGCCCGGUUCUGCUGGCUCCCCUCCCUAGCGGGUGAGAGGCCACGCGGAGGUGAGGCGAGUGGAGGCCAGAGGGAAGGCCCUCCCCGCCUCGCCAGGCUGCAGCUGUGUGUCCGUGCUGGAGGAGGGGCAGGGCAGCCUUGCGGUGCUGCUCGCUGGCUGGGCCAGAGUCUCAGAGUUCUCCGGGCCCAGCUGGGGGCCGGGGCAGGAGUGGGCGCUGGUGCAAAGCUGACACUGUCUGGGAGCCAGAAAGCCAGGCAGGCUGGGGAGAGGACAGACCCGGGAAGGCCGAGGGUUCCUGCAGUGGGGGUGGAGGCCAGAGGGGCUGAGGGUGAGGGCUGUGACUGUGGGCCAGGUCACUGGGCCUCACCUGAUGGCCAGCCCUGGGGGCAGGGGUGGCAGCACAGUCAUGGAGGGUGGGCGCUGGGAAGACUGGUUGCAGAGGAAGUGGCUACUGGCCUGGCUGAGACUGGGCACAGGGAGGGAUGCCAAGAGGAGCACAGGUGGGCUGGUGGGGGGACGCUGGGGAGAUGGGACAGAACCACGGGCCUUGGCAAUGGAUGGGGGAAGAUGAGGGACCCUCCAGGCCUGGCCUAGGUUGAGGGAUAUGAAGAGGCCAGGGCUGGGCUGAGCACGCCUGCAGGAUGUUAGGGGCAGCUGGAAAAGGGCAGAUUGAGGAGGCCUUAGUUGUUGGUAUGGGGCCUGGUGCAAACAAGACUGCCAGGGGAUGGGGAAGAAGGCCCAGGGCAGGCCUGAGACCCAGGAAGCCAGGAGGCCUGAGGAUCCGGGGAAGCGUGGGGAAGCAUUCCCCCAGUGUGUGCCCUCUCUCCUCAUUCCCAGCUGCAAUGAUGCCCAGCUCUGUGGGUGUGUUCAGACACGUGUGAGAGUGCGUGUGUGUACAUGUGUGAUGUGGUAUGCACAAGUGUACGUGUGAGACACAGACGGGUGGGUGACCCAGGCCAUCUUCAGCUCACCCCCCCUCCUCCCUCGUUGUCCCGGAGACCAGCCUGGCUCCAGCCACCAUGGCAACAGUGCAGCCCCUCCCUCCAGCAGGAGAGGGUGACCUACGGGGCCAGCUGUUUCCAGGGCCACGGGGCAGUCAGGGGUCCUCUGGUAGACUCUGCCCUGCUCUCCACGUCAGGAAACAGCUGCCUGGAGAGGACAGGAACUUGAAGAGGCACCUGGGUCUGGUGCAAGGCUGCCCCUCUCAGCAGGAAGGCCCAACGCAUGGAGAUGUCCACAGCACAGUGGCCUGAGCCCCAGACACCUUGAAGUGUGACGGGAGGCCAAGGGACAGGGCCUGGCUCUCUGUGGUCAGUGGUGCAGCAGGAUAAGGACGCAGCACCUCAACCCCCGUUGGGACCACUGCUGGUGGCCUCCCCCAGCCAUGUGCAGAGGUGUCCCCGGCCCUGCUGCUCACGGACUUGCUGGGCUGGGCCACACCUGCUUGUGGGCUCCACAGCCUACCAUCAGAGCUCGAGGGGCUGCCGGCAGAACACACGCACCACCUCUUUCUGAAGAGGUGUGAGUGCAUGCUGCUCUGAGUUUGGGGAGACUCAAGGUCUUCAGAUCAAAACUCAGGAGCUGGGGAGGGCGCUCCCCAGGAUGCUGGCUUCCCAAGGCCGACUUCCAAGACCAGGGUGGUCCCACUAGGCACACAGGGCACGUGAGGAGGACUGGCCUGGAGGCUCACACGAGGGGCUGGGGUACCACUAGGUAGGCCACUGGAGACCUCAGUUCCUGUCGAUGGAGUCAGGCCUGCCUCAGAACCACAUCUUGCCAUGGUAAUCACCUAGACCCAGAAGAGCCUCCCUCAUUCCCACCCUCCCCUGCCCCAGCACAGGCCAUAGGUCCGGAAACAGCUCGUUCUCUGGGGAGGCAGGCUCUGGGACCCUCUGCUGGUUCUCGGAAGGUCCCGCAAGUGGACGAUACCCCCUCCUCUCUUGUAGGUGCUGUGUGGAUUCAGCCAAAGGGGUGGGCUCCUGCCGCCUACCUUGGCUCAGACCCCCUGGGGGACCCUGCCCUCACAGGCCCCUGCUGCAGGAGGAUGGGGAUAGAGCUCCUGGGAAGCCAGAACCUAAGAGCUUUCUGACCUGGGACAGGAACAUUGUCGGUGAAGGGCAGUGACGGGGUGGAGCUUGGGGGAGGCUGGGUGUCCGAGCGAGCGAGCCAGCAGGCCCCUCAGGCAGGUGAGUGUGUUUGGGGCACACCUGAAGGCUGUAGCUGCCACAGUUAGACCCCAGCCCGGCCCGCAGGCACCACAAAGGCCUCACACAGCACCCGCAGCGCCAGCACCUUGGCCUCCCGGCUACCCCAACCCUCAAACCUCUGUGAGAUACGGAAGGAGCCCCCCGGUGUAUGGCUCUUCCGUGGCUACUGCAGCGGGCAGACAGCGGCUCACAGCGAGCAGCUCAGGCUGAUGACCUUGGGCCGAGGUCAGCACACCUAAGGGCAGACCGCGCCCCACAGGUGAUUCUGUGUAGUACUGAAGGUCCAAGGGGACCUAGGCUGUCUCGGGCCCCGACUGCCGUGGUCAAGGCAGAGUCCCUAGUGAAGGCGGCCAGCCGCUGGGCCUGGAGAACAGCCAGAUGGGUGGAGAGCAGGGCCGGGUGCUCCAGGUAUGGGGACAGCAGAGCAAAGGUUCCAAGGAGGGGGAGGCGUGGCCAGGUGGGGACCUCGGGCUGCGGGCUUGAGGUCAGUCAAGCCCCGGUCAGAACGGCGGCCCCGGGGUGAGCAGAGGGCGCCCAGGGCAGGGUCAACUUUUAGCCCACGCCAGGGGCUGCGAGUCCCCGAGCGCGGACGCUCAGCCGGGUCCCCGCGGGGGCGAUACCGCCUCCGCGCGCUCGGCCAGCUGCGCGCGAGGGUGCGCGGACCGCCAGAGACCCACUCGCACGGCCCGAGGCACACGGGGGACGCCUCCGGGACUCCCGCCUCAGCUCGGGACCCCGCGUUCACGACAGCCCGCGCGAUCGAACCGCCCGCUCCGGGAACGGCUGAGGUGGGCGCGCGUUCCGCCGGUGACCUUCCCCGGCACGGCCUGGGGCGGGACUGGAGAGGCCCCGCCCCGCCCACGCGCCGCCAUUGGCUGGGACUUAGGGGCCCUUUGGAAACCCCGGCUACCAUUGGCUCCCGCGACCCCGCCCCACACGCCUCGGCCACCGCCCGCGCAGGACCUGCGCGUGCGCGGUGUGUGUGUGUGUGCGCGC